UACGGGGGGAGCAAGCGUUGUUCGGAUUUACUGGGCGUAAAGGGCGCGUAGGCGGCCUCCGCAAGUCAGUUGUGAAAUCUCCGAGCUUAACUCGGAAAGGUCAACUGAUACUGCGGGGCUAGAGUGCGGAAGGGGCAACUGGAAUUCUUGGUGUAGCGGUGAAAUGCGCAGAUAUCAGGAGGAACACCGGUGGCGAAGGCGGUUCUCUGGGCCUGUACUGACGCUGAGGAACGAAAGCGUGGGGAGCGAACAGG
rnacentral:rRNA from 1 species